AUGUGCAUUCCUACAACAUAGCGUUAAUGCAUCGGAUUCCAUUAGAACUCCGCAGUUAAGCAUGCUCAGGCUAGAGUAGUACUGGGAUGGGUGACCUCCCGGGAAGUCCUAGUAUUUUACAUG
rnacentral:rRNA from 1 species